rnacentral:lncRNA from 1 species
GGGAUGGGAUUGGAUGGUGGAUCACCCUGAAAUGUCAUUACCAGCACAUUGCAUCGUCUCAAGUUGUAGAUUUAGAAACAAUCCAGUCAAAUAGGGUGAUCUAGAAAUAUGUUUUAAAAUAAUUUUUAUUUUAUAAAAUAUUUAAAAUUUAUUUUUAAAUAAAAAUAUAUACAGAAUAUAUUUCCACUAAAAUCCGGAUCACGGUCGGAA